GACGAACGCUGGCGGCGUGCUUAACACAUGCAAGUCGAACGGAAAGGCCCUGCUUUUGUGGGGUGCUCGAGUGGCGAACGGGUGAGUAACACGUGAGUAACCUGCCCUUGACUUUGGGAUAACUUCGGGAAACUGGGACUAAUACCGGAUAGGAGCUCCUGCUGCAUGGUGGGGGUUGGAAAGUUUCGGCGGUUGGGGAUGGACUCGCGGCUUAUCAGCUUGUUGGUGGGGUAGUGGCUUACCAAGGCUUUGACGGGUAGCCGGCCUGAGAGGGUGACCGGCCACAUUGGGACUGAGAUACGGCCCAGACUCCUACGGGAGGCAGCAGUGGGGAAUAUUGCACAAUGGGCGGAAGCCUGAUGCAGCAACGCCGCGUGCGGGAUGACGGCCUUCGGGUUGUAAACCGCUUUCGCCUGUGACGAAGCGUGAGUGACGGUAAUGGGUAAAGAAGCACCGGCUAACUACGUGCCAGCAGCCGCGGUGAUACGUAGGGUGCGAGCGUUGUCCGGAUUUAUUGGGCGUAAAGGGCUCGUAGGUGGUUGAUCGCGUCGGAAGUGUAAUCUUGGGGCUUAACCCUGAGCGUGCUUUCGAUACGGGUUGACUUGAGGAAGGUAGGGGAGAAUGGAAUUCCUGGUGGAGCGGUGGAAUGCGCAGAUAUCAGGAGGAACACCAGUGGCGAAGGCGGUUCUCUGGGCCUUUCCUGACGCUGAGGAGCGAAAGCGUGGGGAGCGAACAGGCUUAGAUACCCUGGUAGUCCACGCUGUAAACGGUGGGUACUAGGUGUGGGGUCCAUUCCACGGGUUCCGUGCCGUAGCUAACGCUUUAAGUACCCCGCCUGGGGAGUACGGCCGCAAGGCUAAAACUCAAAGGAAUUGACGGGGCCCCGCACAAGCGGCGGAGCAUGCGGAUUAAUUCGAUGCAACGCGUAGAACCUUACCUGGGUUUGACAUGGAUCGGGAGUGCUCAGAGAUGGGUGUGCCUCUUUUGGGGUCGGUUCACAGGUGGUGCAUGGCUGUCGUCAGCUCGUGUCGUGAGAUGUUGGGUUAAGUCCCGCAACGAGCGCAACCCUUGUUCACUGUUGCCAGCACGUUAUGGUGGGGACUCAGUGGAGACCGCCGGGGUCAACUCGGAGGAAGGUGGGGAUGACGUCAAGUCAUCAUGCCCCUUAUGUCCAGGGCUUCACGCAUGCUACAAUGGCUGGUACAGAGAGUGGCGAGCCUGUGAGGGUGAGCGAAUCUCGGAAAGCCGGUCUCAGUUCGGAUUGGGGUCUGCAACUCGACCUCAUGAAGUCGGAGUCGCUAGUAAUCGCAGAUCAGCAACGCUGCGGUGAAUACGUUCCCGGG
rnacentral:rRNA from 1 species